GGCCAUAUCACAUUGAAAAACUGGUUCUUGUCUGAUCACCGAAGUUAAGCAAUGUCAAGCCUGGUCAAUAACUAGAUGGCUGACCACUUGUGAAUACCAGGUGUUGUAAG